CACUGUUUAAGUUUAUGACUGAAAUAUUCUGUUAACUGAGCCAGUCAAUUUCUGUUUGACUUAGGAUAUGGCUUCUUUUACCUUUGAUAUUACCACAUGCCUGUUUUGGAAGUGGCUGUUUUCACUGGGCUCCCAAUGACCUAAACCACACCCCCACACGGUCUUCUUCUUUCCCGUCAGAAGGAAGUGGUGUGCAUAUGUGCACCUGUGUGCAUGUGUGUGUCAGAGAGAGACGGGGAGAAGAGCGAGACUGGAUGGAAAGAAUCUCUCCCUGAGUGAGGGAGAUUUUGAAUCAUUUUUUGGGAGAUUUGUGUGUUAUUUUCCCGUUGUUUGUUUUUAGUUUUAAAAAUCUUCUCUAGAGCUAUGGAUGGCUGUGUCAUUUUUGUUGCUGUUGAGCUACAAGAAAAAUGCUGGCAGUUGUGACAGAUUAUUAAGCCAGAAAAAUUUCUUGAAGAAAAUAUCCUCAUCUGUUAUGAGUAUGGAGAUGAAUAAGGCCCAGUUCCGACGUCUGGGAUUUCAACUCUCCAGCCAAGAGGACAAGAAAAAGAUGUUUGGCUUCUAUGAAGCAAUUUAUUGUCCAGAGCAUCUUGGCAUCUGGCUGCUCCUGAGGAAACAGGAGGGUGUGUGUGUGUAUGUGUGUGUGUGUGUGUGUUUAUCUGGGAGUACUUAAAUAUUUCAGGGCUUAGUCCAUCCAUACUUUGAAUUUGAUAUGUAAUUAUGAAUAAAUACCGG
rnacentral:lncRNA from 1 species